rnacentral:rRNA from 1 species
GAUGAACGCUGGCGGCGUGCCUAAUACAUGCAAGUCGAGCGAACGGACGAGAAGCUUGCUUCUCUGAUGUUAGCGGCGGACGGGUGAGUAACACGUGGAUAACCUACCUAUAAGACUGGGAUAACUUCGGGAAACCGUAGCUAAUACCGGAUAAUAUUUUGAACCGCAUGGUUCAAAAGUGAAAGACGGUCUUGCUGUCACUUAUAGAUGGAUCCGCGCUGCAUUAGCUAGUUGGUAAGGUAACGGCUUACCAAGGCAACGAUGCAUAGCCGACCUGAGAGGGUGAUCGGCCACACUGGAACUGAGACACGGUCCAGACUCCUACGGGAGGCAGCAGUAGGGAAUCUUCCGCAAAGGGCGAAAGCCUGACGGAGCAACGCCGCGUGAGUGAUGAAGGUCUUCGGAUCGUAAAACUCUGUUAUUAGGGAAGAACAAAUGUGUAAGUAACUGUGCACAUCUUGACGGUACCUAAUCAGAAAGCCACGGCUAACUACGUG